AGAGUUUGAUCCUGGCUCAGGAUGAACGCUGGCGGCGUGCUUAACACAUGCAAGUCGAACGAAGCACUCUAUUUGAUUUUCUUCGGAAAUGAAGAUUUUGUGACUGAGUGGCGGACGGGUGAGUAACGCGUGGGUAACCUGCCUCAUACAGGGGGAUAACAGUUGGAAACGACUGCUAAUACCGCAUAAGCGCACAGGAUUGCAUGAUCCGGUGUGAAAAACUCCGGUGGUAUGGGAUGGACCCGCGUCUGAUUAGCCAGUUGGCAGGGUAACGGCCUACCAAAGCGACGAUCAGUAGCCGACCUGAGAGGGUGACCGGCCACAUUGGGACUGAGACACGGCCCAAACUCCUACGGGAGGCAGCAGUGGGGAAUAUUGCACAAUGGGGGAAACCCUGAUGCAGCGACGCCGCGUGAGCGAAGAAGUAUUUCGGUAUGUAAAGCUCUAUCAGCAGGGAAGAAAAUGACGGUACCUGACUAAGAAGCACCGGCUAAAUACGUGCCAGCAGCCGCGGUAAUACGUAUGGUGCAAGCGUUAUCCGGAUUUACUGGGUGUAAAGGGAGCGCAGGCGGUGCGGCAAGUCUGAUGUGAAAGCCCGGGGCUCAACCCCGGUACUGCAUUGGAAACUGUCGUACUAGAGUGUCGGAGGGGUAAGUGGAAUUCCUAGUGUAGCGGUGAAAUGCGUAGAUAUUAGGAGGAACACCAGUGGCGAAGGCGGCUUACUGGACGGUAACUGACGUUGAGGCUCGAAAGCGUGGGGAGCAAACAGGAUUAGAUACCCUGGUAGUCCACGCCGUAAACGAUGUCGACUUGGAGGUUGUGCCCUUGAGGCGUGGCUUCCGGAGCUAACGCGUUAAGUCGACCGCCUGGGGAGUACGGCCGCAAGGUUAAAACUCAAAUGAAUUGACGGGGGCCCGCACAAGCGGUGGAGCAUGUGGUUUAAUUCGAUGCAACGCGAAGAACCUUACCUACUCUUGACAUCCAGAGAACUUAGCAGAGAUGCUUUGGUGCCUUCGGGAACUCUGAGACAGGUGCUGCAUGGCUGUCGUCAGCUCGUGUUGUGAAAUGUUGGGUUAAGUCCCGCAACGAGCGCAACCCUUAUCCUUUGUUGCCAGCGGUCCGGCCGGGAACUCAAAGGAGACUGCCAGUGAUAAACUGGAGGAAGGUGGGGAUGACGUCAAGUCAUCAUGGCCCUUACGACCAGGGCUACACACGUGCUACAAUGGCGCAUACAAAGAGAAGCGACCUCGCGAGAGCAAGCGGACCUCAUAAAGUGCGUCGUAGUCCGGAUUGGAGUCUGCAACUCGACUCCAUGAAGUCGGAAUCGCUAGUAAUCGUGGAUCAGCAUGCCACGGUGAAUACGUUCCCGGGCCUUGUACACACCGCCCGUCACACCAUGAGAGCCGGGGGGACCCGAAGUCGGUAGUCUAACCGCAAGGAGGACGCCGCCGAAGGUAAAACUGGUGAUUGGGGUGAAGUCGUAACAAGGUAGCCGUAUCGGAAGGUGCGGCUG
rnacentral:rRNA from 1 species